AAGAAUCCAGUUGGUCAUUGAGAAGAAUAAAAAACAUGCACAACGGUGGACUCUAACAUGGCAUGGAGCAGUGGCGGAACUGAGGGGGGACGUGGGAAGGCCACGGCCAUCCCUCAACUUUUUAUUUUUUUUUAAUUCAUAUAUAUUAAAUUACUAAAACAUCCUUAUUUUAAAUUAAAAUUAAUUUUUAUUUUUUCUUUUUCAUUCAAAGUUAGGUUAAAUUACAGAUAAGGUAAAAAGCUCCUACCUUUCCUUUCUUUCUCAUAUGGGUUUGCUACCGG
rnacentral:lncRNA from 1 species